UUUUCCUCCCACCGGCCAUUUCUAUCACUCCAUUUCUAUCAAUUUCCUCCAUAUCGAUUUCUCUCACUCCAUUUCUAUCAAUUUCUCUGCAAAUCGUCGCUCCUGCUCACUAGUUAGGCUUUAAAACUAUUGUAUCAGAUUGAGACGAAUUUUCACAACUUUUCACGAAAUCGAUAUGACUGUUAGGGUUCCAGAUUGAGAUUUGAGACCAAUGACUUUACAUGAAUAACGUUAGGUUUUGUAUGUAAAUCAUAACUUUUCACGAAACCGAAAUCAUCAACAAGGUUUCAUCGAAAGAAAUCAAAUCAAAAUGAGAACGAGGAAAAAUGAAGAACAGGUUGAAAUUGAAGCAGAUUCAGAGAGAAAAUCAAAGAAAGGAGCAUCGAACAAGAAAAAGCAGGUUGUGAUGAGAAAGAGGAAACAUGUUGAAAUUGAAACUGAAGCAGAAAAAGCAAAUAAAGGAGCAUCGAAACAAGAAACGUAAUACUACAAAAAUCGUGAUGAAGAAGAAGGAGGAUCAAGCCAUGAGGAUCAAACAGAUAUCAAUAUCGAUAAGGAAGAAGGUAUUCUACCCUAAUUAUCAUUCUGCGACAUGAAACCCACUGAAAAUGAAAACCAAAGUAGAAGAUGUUCUUUCCCAGGUUCAAAUUAGAACUGAAUGUUUAUUUGCAUACAAGAAUCCAUAAUUCUUUAGUGCCAGUUAUUUUGUAGUCAUUGCAGCUGUUAUGUACUCCCUUUGAAACUGUGAUUAACAAUCUUUAUAGUUUAUAUACUAUAUGAUUUUUAGUUUCUAUA